rnacentral:tRNA from 1 species
GGGGCUGUAGCUCAGUGGCAGAGCGCUUGCCUAGCAUGCAUGAGACAAUGGGUUCUAUCCUCAGUACCA